rnacentral:lncRNA from 1 species
UUACUACAUAGAUUACAUUUCCUUAGGAAGAUAAAAAAAUAUCUGAAAGGAAAAGAAAUAAAUUUCCCCAAAAUACAUGUAAAAACACAAAGAAUUUAUACACAAAGGAUUUUCUUCAAUUCAAGUAUGAUAAAAUAGCUGGUAUCAGAAUAACUUUCUUGGCAAAAAUAAUUAUCAAAGAGACAAAAUAAAAGAAAAUCAUCUGAAGGAAAUGGAAAAAUAAAGUAUCAAAAAGACUACUAUCUUUGAAAAAAGAGAAGCAGCACAGCUGGUGAAAUCUGCUUAACCCUAUCUUUUCUGAGGCCAUUCCCAGGUUCUUCCUGCAGGAGUCUAGAACCCAAGAUGACUAUGAUCUCACUUGGAAGGGAAGACAGAAGUCAGACUUUGGGAGGCAAAGCAGAUGAAAAGUGAAGGACACAGUAAUGAACGUACUGCUUAGGGGACUGUGGAAGGAAACCCCCAAAUCUGCAUACUAGCACACUCUAUUGUAAACAACUAGUCCAUUUGCAACCCACGUAUGGGGAGAACACACCUCCCAUGGACUGUUUAUCUUGGGUGGUUAAUGAUCUUGAAUCCAACAUCUACCAAGGAAAUAAGUGCUUUCCUAAUUUCAAGCAACUAUGAUAGAAUUGCUGUGUUCUUCUACACUCAUUUGCCAGAAGGUGGAACUGGAAGUCACAUAUAUGACUAUGAAUGGAAAUUAAAAGGGAAACUCAACAAAAG